UUUGUAAGGGAAAGACUGAACGUUUCCCAUCCCAAGAGGCAUAAAAUGAGAAGGCAUAAAUUGUUAUUAUACUUCUGACAUGCCUUGUGCAGUUGUGCAGAGCUCAGAGUGCUGUCAUACCCAGUAUGGCAGGGAACACUUCGGUCCCCACAGCUGGACCAAGUCAACGAGAUAAGGAGGGCAGGUCUGAUAGUGUAUUUAAUCACUCCAUGUCGAAGGCCCUGCGCAGGCAGGAGAGAAUGCUGAGGACAGAGCAGGAUGAGAUGAGAGGUGAAGUUGUCAACAGGCCCAAGAUGGAACACCCAGACAAGAUGAACAAGAGUUUCUCAGGCGUGUAAAUAGUCAUAUUUUUACACUUAUAGCUUAUUUCACAGAGCCUGGUUUCACCAGACUUUCUACUUCAUUUCACUUUGUGAAAAGUGUACUCACUCAGAGCACACUUUUGCUGUAUAACUUUACACAUUCUACAUUGCCCUUCUAUGCUUUCUAUAUUGCCCUUCUAUGCUUUUAUUUGUUAUUAUUGUUUGGUUUUG